UAAACAGUCGAUGUUCUGUGACAGAGGCGGUGAAGCCUGCUGCUAGUUACAGUAUUAUUAUGUCGUGUCUGUCAUCUGAGACUUGAGGUUGUGAUGGUUAUUGUUUCGCUCCGGGUGGUCGGAGUUAUUCCAGUGCGAGUUGGAACAUUCGUGGGUUAAAUGGGCCACGAUGUCACGUCUAAGUAAUAUAUUAUUCUAGUUCGUUGGUAUUUCUGCUGCCCAUUGUUAUAUUUUCUUACUCCUGUGCUGUUCUUUUUUGUUGAGUUAUUUACUGGAUUGGUUACUCUGUUGUUUUGGAGUUCACUGGACUGAGUGGUCGGAGUGUCAAAUUUUAUGCCGUGGGUCGUCGCAAGGCAGAUGAAGGUGCCAGGAUCAGGCUGUGGACGACGAAACCGGUGAGUUCUGCCUCUACUGGCUAUCUUCAGAUCGCCCCCACACCAUGAUAUUAGUCUAAGUUACUACCUUCAUAAUGCAAAGUAACAUGAUAGUAGUGUCAUAGAUGACUUUAUUUAUUAGUUUGUAGACUCAUCUUGUCUAGCGCUAUGUUACAGUAACAUAUUAUGUUACCACCUCACAUUAAAUAUUUGCCAUAUAAGCAAAAAAUUCUUGGAGUGUGCUAUGUUACUAGCUAAGUUACUCCCACUAUGACUAGCCUUAGUACUUUGAUCUUUUGGCCCCUUUUACUAUUGGAGAACCUAGCUUUGAUGAAGGAAAAUCAAUUCAUUCUCCUAAAGACGUGUCUCAUUCCUAUAGGCUAAGGAUAGGAUUUUUUAGUGAGUGCAGUAUGUUUUUUUCCUUUGAUUUGAAAUUAGAAGGAUUGGUUCCUAAAAUUGAGUGUCUAAUGUUUUUUUCCUUUGAACUAAAAUGAGAAGGAUCGGUUCCUAUUUCUAUGAUUCCUUUGAACUGAAAUUUGAAGGAUUGUUUCCUAUCCUAUAUAGGAAUAGGAAUUUAUACUUCAAAGAAAUAUUUCCUACAAAAUUUGUAUCCUUCACCUUGAACUUGCAGACAAAAGACAAUUCAAACCCUAAACUUCUAAUUCCUGAAAUUAGCACAUCAAACUCUUUAAUCUCGGUCUAUUUUAAACCUUGAACGCGUUUUGGUCUAUUUUAAACUUUGAGGGGUCCCAAACAUGGCAGCUCAAACCUGGGAUAGUUGGCUGUGGCCGAGCGCGACUGGGCUGGCCCACCUUUUCCGUAACACGUGAGUUAAAAAUUUGAAAAAAAAAGAGAGAGCACGGGGAAUCGAUUUUGCAACCUGCUGCCGAACUCGUCUUGAUAGCCACUCUAACUGAUGGGUAUUGGUGAUCAAUACGAAGCGCAAAGAAUAUUUGACCACAUACCGCAUCAUCGACAUUUAAAAACAUUUCUGAAAUUUUUCGAAAUGUUUUCUUAGAAAUUGUCAACAAUUUUGAAAUCCAAACAUUUUCUGGAAUUUUUGGAAUCAUGAUCUUCUUUAGAAAACAUAAACUAAUUUUGAAAACGUGAACCAUUUUUGAAAUUCACAAACACUUUUUAAAAAAACACUACUUUGAAACCUGAACAAAAUUUUGAAAUGCGAACAAAUUCUGAUAAUUUGUUCCCAUUUGUUCAAAAAUUAGGAAGUUUGAACUUUAAAUUUUUGUUCAGAUUUCAAAAUUUGUUCCCACUUUUACAAAAAAUGUUUAUGUUUAAAAACUGUCUUGUUUUGAAAAAUUGUUCGCACUUUAAUUUUUCAGGUUUAAUUUUUUUUCGUGUUUUCAAAAAAUUUGUUCAUUUUUUAAAUAUUGCCACUUAAAAAAAUUCAGGGAUUUAAAAAAUGGUUCACGUUUUCAAUAUUUCUUUGUGUUUUUCAAAAACUGUUUGUAAUUAAAAAAAUCGCAUUUCUGCAAAAUCGUGUGGAAUUUUUUUUUAAGAAUAUUCAGAUUUCAAACUUGUUGAUAAUUUUUAAUAAAAUGUUCCAAAUCUCGACAUUGCGUUGUGUAGUUAAAUAUUUUGCGCUUCUCAUUUAUAACCAAAAGUUAUCAGUUAGAGUGGUUAGUGGGAGUAGUUUAGAAGCACCCGGUCCCAAGUUUGAUUCCUCGUGAGUCUCGGUUUUAUGGAUAGUUUUAAGCCUCGCGUUACAAAAAAGAAAAACAUGCUUCGCUCCUGGUGGGCUGGCCCAGUCGCCUUCGGCCGCAGCCAGACCUGCCAUGUCAACAUUGCUAAAAAAAAACCUGCCAUGUCAACAAUCUCUUUGUUAACUCGCUCAGGGUUCAAAACAGACUGGAAUCUGAGAGUCGAUGUGCUUUCGUCUACAAGUUUAAGGUUUGUUUUGGAAUUUUUUCGAAAGGGGUUUGCUAGUGGGAUCUACACUGUAACUCUCUUCCUCUGCUCCAUCAUGGCACUUUUGUUCCAUCCCGGUGUUGUCCUGGCGCAUAAUCUGGAAGUGCUGGGCCUUGCUUAACAUCAAUUUUUUUUGCUCUGCCCUCUUUGGUCCGAGGAGAAUGAAAUCAUGCAUCACCUUCUUUCUCGGGUGCAUUUUCUCCCACACCACUGGGCAUGAAAAUUCUGUCGUGCUUCCACCUCAACAUCUGAAAUUUCGAUGUGCUUUCGUCUACAAAUUUAAGGUUUGUUUUGGAUUUUUUCCGGAAGGGGUUCGCUAGUGGCAUCUACACUGUAACCCUCUUCCUCUGCUCCGUCAUGGCACUUUUGUUCCAUCCUGGCGUCGUCCUAGCGCAUAAUCUGGAAGUGCUGGGCCUUGCUUAACAUCAAUUUUUUUUGCUCUGCGCUCCUUGGUUCGAGGAGAAUGAAAUCAUGCAUCACCUUCUUUCUCGGGUGCAUUUUCUCCCACACCACUGGGCAUGAAAAUUCUGUCGUGCUUCCACCUCAACAUCUGACCAUCAGACGGCACAGCGGCCUUCUUCAAUUGAUGUGAGGUCACGACUGCGUCAUCCACCGGCAUGUGCAACGCUUUCAUCUUCGACGGUAUGCGGCCAUGACAUCAAAGGCACACUCUGAGCUUGCACCGGAGCCAAAGGCUUAGAUAAAAUUAUACUCCUUCUGUCUCGAAUGUCUCAAUUUUAUACUAAGUUUAGUACAAAAUUAUAUUAAAAUUGAGACAGUUAUUUUGAGACGGAGGGAGUACUUGUAACAUGAACCUGAUGUGCCGGUUUUUGUGACUCCAGCUUGUGCGCAUUACCAGGAGUUGCACCCUGUAUUUUCUCUCCCCUAUCAAUGAGACGAUACACAAUUAUACAUAUUCAUGAAAAAAAAAAAUGCUGCGCGCGGCUAAGUUAGUAUGCUGCGCGAGUUGGAACGUGUCUGUGGCAACGCGGCGUGCAGUGGCAUGGGACGGGAUACGAGUCCGUUUUGUAGGUACUCCCUCUGUAAAUAAAUAUAUGAGCGUUUAGAUCACUAAGUAGUGAUCUAAACGCUCAUAUAUUUAUUUACAGAGGGAGUAGGAUGCAGCGGCACGCAGUGCAGAGCCGGUGACAUGGUGCGACUGCUUUUGUUCGUUCAGGUGCCUCCUCACAGUCACACUCGCAAUGGCAGUCACGUCCCGUCGUCCGGCUUCCGUUUGACGGCCGGUCGGUCGAGGGCGAGAAGGAAUCGGCAGCAGGAGAGGAGUUUUUCCUUGGUCUCGAAGCAUAUAAAGCGUCUCUUGCCUGCAGCGCAAUCCCAUUUGAUUCUUCCGAGCUAGUAGUAGAAGCCUAGAACCCAGCCCGUCGCGGCAGCAUGCGAGCUUUGCCUUGCCGUGCCUGCAGCUCGUCCUCCCCGCCGGGUCGGCAGUGGCCGGCGGUAGCUUUACCCUAGAUUUGGCCCGGCAGGGAGCCAACCAAAAGCUGCCGCGACGAGACGCCGGCCUCGGAGGCCGCGCCGGUGGGCGCUGAACCGGAGAGGGAUCGGGUCACAUGGGAGGCACUCGCCUCGCCUACCUCGCUGCCGGCUGCUUUUUCCUCCCCUCCCGGCCAUCUUUGACUGCCUAUAUAUUUGGGGAACCUAGACUAGAGGGAGGGAGGGAGGAGUCUUCCAGGCCAAGAUAUCUUUGAUGCUGCCUGCCUCUGCCUCUGCCUGAUUGAUUGGUUGAUGAUUCCUCGUCGCGCACUAGUCGUACCUUGCACUGUCAGCGCUCUGCUCACGCACUUGAGCUCCCAGGGACAUAUUUGUAGAUGAGGAGAUUCACAAACUAUCUGAACAAUCAGUUACACCUUUGUAUAUAAAAAGAUACAACCAGUAUCUGCUUUGCUUUCUUUGGUAUGUGAAAAAUUUACCGUAGAACAAGUGCUUCAAAAAAGAAAAAAGCCCACACAUUUUCUCCUUUGAGACUACAACAUAAUCCUUCAGUUUCAAAAUAUAUGUGUUUUUUUGUACUUUGCAGCUUCCAAAUUUGACAAUUAUAAACUAUGUUGUGCUAUGAUUUCUUCUUCUUUUAAUGAUACCAUUUACAUUUAACCAACUAAGUUAUUUUAGGUACCUAGUGAUAUUUUUUUAUCAACAACAUAUACAAUGCUUCCCAAAAAGACAUAAAAAACGGAUUUUAUUGGAAAUAUUGAUACAAGAUGCAUCUAAGCACACAAUUCAAUACACGACUUGAGAAAAAGGUUAACCGGACCAACUGUUCACAUCAUACUCGAUACCCCGCUCAUCACCGUGAAAUUAGAUAUAUAUAGUUUUCUAAUAUUUAUAUAUAGUCUGUGUAGAAUACUAAUUCUGUCAUUACUAUUUUAAACUACGAGAGAAAUUUUUGCAUAAGCAAAAAAGUCUUAACACGAAAAAUUGUACACGUCACAAUUAAAACCCACUUAAAAUACAUUAAUACAUGUUGCAUUGUAGAGGAUUCUCAUGUGUACAUCAGACGAGUGCUAGUGAUCUCUCGGGAGAGAUAGACUAGAGGUCCGAGUGAGGAAAUGCCAUGUAACUCGAGUGACGACGUCGGCGUGUGGUCCGAUUCUCUGGAGAGACGCCACUCAUUAACACGGGGGAAUGCCAGUGCGGGCCAUCUUCGAGUCCAAAUUUAUGAGGCUCGCGCCUUGGAGCCUAGAAGAAGGGCCAAGUUAACCCGUAGAGGGGCGUCGAGCUCUUCCCAUCGCAAUCCUGAAGAUGACUUGAGUCGGGUUUGAUUAGGUGUCCGAGUGCACGGUAACCCUUGGAGGGCGAUUGGUCGGACCGACGAGUGUUACUUAGGAAAGGAAUCGGAAGCGACCAAUCGAGUUGAAUCGUAGCCAGAAUCUUGUUGUUCGAAAUUUCGCAUGCGCGCGUGGAAGUGGUUGCACCGCGGCUAGUGGGCAAAGUGGGGCACGACGCCUCGAUUUUCGCCCAGGAAAUCCGCCACGUGCCCUGUUUCCUCUGCGCGGUGAAUGCGGCGGGCGCUGUUGGAUCCAUAGAUCGAGGUCGGAGAUUCACGGGGCAGAUUUACCCGUGGUAUAAAGAGCGAACAAACUAGGGCGGAGGGGAUAGAUCCCCUUGUCACCUCGCCCACUCCGUUGUUCCUCGACUCAUCCACGUCCACCCUAAGCAUCAUCCCACUACGAUAGAAUGGGGGAACGACUCGACGGUGAGGCUGGAGAAGGCGAAGGCGGGGAAGAGCGCAUCGUCGAGCGGCGGUCCACCGGCGGGCCGAACCGAGGGGGACUGGAUGCCGUCCAGGGUCACGCGGAAGAGAUUGCUGGAAUUGGAGGACGAAAAGUUGAUUUCGAAGGGCCGUUGGAGGUUGCCGGAGGCAGACGAGGUAGAGCCCGCACCACAGGCGGACGAGCAGGCCCUCCUCGUUGCCCACAUCGAGAGAGGUUUUUCUUUGCCAUCCCAUCCUUUUUUCCGCGCAUUCCCGGACUUCUUCGGGGCGCAGCUCCACCAACUUCCGCCGAAUGCCAUCAUCUAUCUGUAUGCUUUUGUCUUACUCUGUGAGAAUGUCAUCGGUUGCUACCCCCACCGGGUGCUGUUCAAGCACAUUUUCACCUGUCGGUCGAUGACCGUGAAGAAGGAUUCGCUGGAUGGGGCGAAGACCAACGUGACCUAGCAGUGUGGCGGACUGGGCAUACAGCUCAGGGGGCGGAGCGCCUUCCCCAAGAUGAGCUUCCCCAACUCCGUCAAGGGCUGGCAUGACAGUUGGUUUUACUGGAGGGACCUCCCGAGUGCUAGAUCUCUAAAUGGACUUCCCCCUUACUCGAGGGUGAGAGUUGUUGCUCCCCCGUCCCUCGAGGUAGCCAAGGAUGAGAAAGUAGAUGUAGGUAUUCUAGUCAACGCCUUGGUUGGAGUUGUGAGGGUCGGAGUUGACAGGAUGGACCUGCUAGAGGUGUUCCUCAGUCGGAGGAUCUAACUGCUGUAGGCCAGGGCGCACCCCAUGUGGAUGAAGAUCGGCCGGGUGAUCCAAUUCGAGUUCAUCCCGAGGACUUGACUGAGAAGGCCAUAGAGUGAAAGCUCAAGGCCAUCACGUCCGCAUGAGACAACCCGCGGGGCGCCAGGAAAGUGCCCGCUUAAGACCAGGAGCACCCGCCUGUCAAUGUAAGUUUGCAUCUAGAUCAACCGAGUCAUUCUCUGUAACGACUUUCUCAUGCUUGGAUCUGAUUUCAAUGUGAUUUCUUUUCAGCAGAGCUUCCAGAAGGUGAUUUCGCAGGUACCAAAUGUCGAUCACGCCCUAGGGGAUGUGGCGAGCGGCACCGAGCAUCAUCAUUAUGAGGAGGAGGAGGAGUGCGACGAGGAGGAAGAGAGCGACAUGACGAGAGCACCGAGGAAGGUGAGGAGGCAGAGUCCUCCCCAUCAGAAGAAUUUCCCAGGGAGCCUCGCACCAAAGCACACCAUGAUUCGAGCGCCCGCGUGGUUGGCAUUCGGGCGCCGAGUGGCUCGAAGCCGACUGCUACAGCUCCUGCCACUCGCAGCUUGAAGCGCAAGCGGGCAGAGUCUACGGAGUCAGUCAAGAAACAACGGAAGCAUGUUUCUACCAAGCCUCGGAAGGCCGACCUGCCGAAGAUCAUGGUGGUCAUGCCAGUGGCUUCGACGUAAGUGUUAGAGACCGAAUUCUUUCUUUGUGCAAAUUUGUCUUGAUAGAUAGUCGAGCGAUUCUGUGAUUGUAGCAAUGAGACAUCGACGACUUCACUGGACCCGAAUGCCCCUAGGAAGGGCCAGACUAAAGCCGACGCCGCGGACGCUACCACUUCCAAAGGUAUUGACUGGUUCAUUCUUCGAAUCAUGUCCGAGUGACCCACAUGAUGAUGUCUUAUUACUCGUGUGAGUGUAGCACCAACUGACACAAUCCAGCUUGAUGAUGAUGACAAGGCCGACCCGCCAAACCCAUAGGUUGACGAGAGGGUGCCAACUGGCACCGAUAUUAUCUUGCGGGAUGCUUCACCAAGCCGAGUGGGCCGCGACUCUCCAGCCAAAGCUGCUGUGAAGCCCGCGGGGUCCAAGCCCUCUGGCCUGGGCUGGUUCCAAGCUUGUGGCCACAACUCUGUCUCCUAAACCCUUAUCCAUGCUGAAGCCAGCCCUUGUCACCGCCUUCACGUUGUACAGGGUCCUGGAGGACCAGGUGGGGGCGAGCAAGGAGGCUCUGAUUCAAGUCAAGGUGAGGAACAAGCGACUGAAGGAGGCAUAUGACGAGAGUGAAGCGUUGCAGACCAACGCCCGAGUAAGUACCAUUGUAAGUACGCUUUUUAGUCAGAGUCUUGAAGUUUUUGAGUUUUCUUCUUGUUGGUGCAAUAUCUUCCUACCUAUGUUUUGGAGAUUGUUGACAGAAACAGGUAUGGACUGAUUUGUUUGCUAGUGCAUACAGAGAGAAAUAGUCCAUACAGAACCGCAAAGAAUGUUGUCUCCGGGGCCAAGUUCGAGGAACUUCACCGAAGUAUAUCUGCAUUGUAGACAAGAAUGAGCUGCAUUUGUUGAAGACAUGUAUGCGAGAAGAUUGAUGUGAAGGAAUUAACCCCUCGAACGUUUACUGCUGAAGCGAAGCAUUUGGUUCGGUAUCGUCGUCCAAAGAAAUUGACUGCAGCGAACGGAAGUCGAAGACAAAUUGAAGACAUAAUAUUCUUUUCGUCUUUGUUCUUUGGUUCAUUUGAGUCAUAAGACCUCUGUACUAUUAAGAGGGGUAUAGUUUCUCGAAGCUUAGAUCCGCUGUGAUGCUUAGCACAAAACCUAUGAAAGAUGCGAGAGAAAUCUUUUUAUGCUCCGAAUGAUUACCUGGCAGCAGUAGACGUUAUUCUUCGUGCUGCAGGAGAUAUAUUCUGGGAGUUAGCAUUACUUGCUCCGCAAGUAAUGUUACCGUUAUCCUCAAAUUUCCGACCGUUGGACUCGUGUCGUUCAGUCAUUGGGUGCUCCUCGUGUCCAAUUUGGUCAUUUCCCAUCAGGGAAGGUUGCACCUACAAAUAGCCACCCGCUCCAACAUUGUCCGUUGGCUGCUCCGCUUGAGAUUUCUGAGAAGAUUGAUUUGAGCAACCCCUUUCCGAGUGAUUUGAGUUUAAGAUCCACCGAGAGAAAAAUCAAGAUCCCAAACUUAGACAGUGGUUUAGCAUCACAGUAGUUUUGAGUUAGAGUUCUUGUACCUAUUACUCUUGAGAGCUGUGCACUCUCUAGACGGAUAGGUUUCCGCUCGAUGUUGAAGAGUUGUUGUCUUGACCGAGCUAGAUCUUCAGCAACCAAGAGUGAUUGUGGUUUGCGAAGGUCGACCGAAGCUUCUUCAAUGCUCGGAUUCAGGUAGAAAGUAAGAGCAGUAGCAUAUUCACAGGAGAGCUUUGUACUUGAAAUUAGUAGUCCCGGUAGUUGGAAAAAAGCUCUGAAUAUAGAUUCAAAGCAUCAAGAUUGGUAGUCUAUCAUUAGUUGGCCAGUCAUAGCAAUUUAAGUAGAAAGCUUGCUUUGGGAUUAGAUCAUUCAACUAUGUUGUGACUAAGCAGAUAUGUCUAUUGUGCCCGGCAAAAACAUAUUUGCAAGGAGUUUCCCAAAGGCUUUCUCAUUCAUAAAAAACAAUUUCAAGUAUAUUUCCGUUCUCCAUUCUCUGCUCGGAUGAUUGCCACUUGUGUGAAUUUCAUUGCUGUGGGUCCCGUGUGUGCUCGAAUAAGAUUGUUUUAGGAUUCUAUUUAGUUGAAUUUCUUGACUCUGCGGUGCUGGUUAUCGAGUUUAUGGCGCCACCGACCAUCCAAAAAGAACACCGUCAAGUAUCUACCAUGAGUGAAAUCAACUAGAGUCUGAUCAGCUUUGAGUUGAAGGAGAAUAGGUCGAAGAGAGUUUAUCUUCCGUGUUAAGUGACAACCCCUCCAACCAAACGUAGCUCUUUGGCAAAAGGGUGAACUGGUCUACCAAAUAUGAUUGUCGCCAUCGAUCACCACUGGUUCAUUCUACUUUACUGCAAUUCCUUCAGCAGUUUACAUUCGUGUUCCGUGUCGAUAGUUUACCUGAUCAUUAUCAUCUGUUGUGUUCCCUUUAUGUAUCGUUCUAUUCUGUUGUCAACCUCGGACAUCAUUGUGUUCAUAUCAUUUCAUUUUCAUCACUUGUUUUCAUUUGUCACUGUCAUAUUCCUCGGUUCAUCUGUGAUAUCUUACUAGAGUUUUAUUUCUCUAUGCGUAUCAUGUUGUGUCUCAUUCUACUGCAUUUGUUAGCUUGUUGCAUUACUCUGAUCAUAGUUAAACCUAUGAUUUCCCAAGCUCGUACUGUUGUCACUUCCUUCAUCAAGGAAUAUUCUUCUGAAGAUGAAGAAUGAUUUAGUUCAUUUCCCUCUUUCCAUUAUUCCGCUGCUGUGAUUGGGAAACAUUCAAAAUAAUUUUUGAAUCUGCCAUUCACCCCCUCUGGUCGAUAUACUCUCAGUCCUAACAAAUGUAUCAGAGCAGGUACUCCAUGUCUCUGUUUAUUAAAGGUCUAACGUCCUUGGAGUUUUGAGUAUGUCAUUUGCAGGUAGAUCCUCGCACUAUGAAAGAUUUCCUAUCUUCGAUGGAAAUGACUAUCUCUACUGGAAGGCAAGCAUGAGAUUCAGAAUUCAAACUAUCAACUAUGAUCUGUGGUAGAUUGUGGAAAGUGGCUACACUAUUCAGCAACCAGAUGAUCCCAAUUUCGAUGACAAAGGAAAUCUGUAGCUGGAUGCUCAAGCAAAAGAUAUCAUUUGUAGCAUUCUCUCGAAAGACAUUUUCUUUCGGUUCCAAAAGCUCGACACUGCCAAGCAACUUUGGGAUGCUAUCAAAAAUGCCCAUGAAGAAUUUUUUGCCAGAUCAGAUCCUCACAUUCAAAUGCUUCAUGCUAUGUUUGCUGGCUUCAGAAGUCUUCAUAAGGAAAGUGCUAUGGAACUGACUGGUCGUUGGACAAACAUCGUUGAAAGACUUCAUCAGUGAGGAGUAACUGAUAUCACCGAUAGAGAUGUAGUCAACAAGCUUCUGAGUGCCCUUGAUGAAACCUUCGAUCCCAUCAUCAUAGCUGAAAUCAAGCAAAGACCAGAGUAUGAAGAACUUCACUAUGUUGAAGUCAUGAAGCUGUUGUCGAUUCAUGAAGAAAAGAUGGAUCUGGAAAAUGCAGAUCAAGAAUCUUCUUCGGAAAGUGAAGGAGAAAUUCUCUCACACUAUGACAGUUCGGAAGAAGAAGAAGAUGUUGAGAAUCAACACACCAUCACCAGAGAACUUGAGAUGCUAACAAAAAUGCUAAGUGAUCCUUGAAGACAAAAUCUAAGCCCCACGAAUGAUGACGAAUUUGACUUGCCAGAAUCAUCAAGAAGGUUAUCUCCAAAUGAAAUGCUUCAAAUGCAAACUGUUCGGUCAUCUAAUAGCAGUCUCUCCUAGCUAGGAAGGAAAACCUAGUAACAGAUGGAAAUGUCUUCACUAUAGUGGAUUCACUCGAAUGGAUCGUUAUACUAAGCUCUCAAAUAAAAAUGAAGCUUCCUCAUUUUCUCCGACGAGACCAGUCACUGACGUGAAAAAAGAGCAACCAUCGAAUCAAACAUGAAGAUAAUAUCACAGCUGAAUAAAGCAUGUGCUGAUAUGACCCUGGAUUCCAAAGAGGAGGCAAUAGACACUGAAUAAGAUGAUGAAGAAUUCUACAAAAGGAUAGGAAGGAGCAAUGCCUUCAUUGCCUGUGAAACAUCUAAGAAUUCAAUCGAGAUAGACACUGGUGAUGAUGCUUCAAGUGAUGAUGAACCAAUUGCAUUCUAUCUCAUGGAAAAAUCAUCUAAGCAUGAGGUAUCAGCAAAACACCAAAAAUCCAUGGAUGGAUAUUCUCCUGAAUACAUUGCCUAUGCUAAACUUGUUAAUAUUGCAAAAUCUCAACAUGAUGAACUUGAAAUGCUUGAGAAGAAUCUUAGGAAAACCGAAGAAUUACUGGUCAAAGAGGUGGAGAAAAAUCAAAAAUUGAUGGAAGAGCAUGAAGCUUUUUCUACAACUAUUGAUGAUCUUUCCAGCAAAUAUGAUUCUAACUUAGAAAGCAUCAAUGAGGGCUUUAUUGCACUAAUACCUAAAGUUCCCUCCCCAGAGACGAUUAACGACUUUAGACCGAUCACACUGCUAAAUUGCUGCCUCAAAAUAAUCACCAAACUAUUGGCCAACCGUCUGCAGAAGAUCAUUCUCAAAAUUACACAUCGUAACCAAUACGAUUUCAUCAAACGUGGAACUAUACAAGACUGUCUUGCUUGGGCCUUUGAGUACAUCCAUCAAUGCCAAGUCUCCAAGAAAAAAAUUGUUCUACUCAAACUUGACUUCGCUAAAGCCUUCGACACCGUAGAACAUGGGGCUAUGCUUGAGAUUAUGAAGCAUAUGGGGUUCAAUGACAAGUGGCUUUCCUGGAUCAAGUCUAUCUUCUCCUCCGGUAAAUCUUCCGUGCUCCUCAAUGGCGUACCAGGCAGACAAUUCUUAUGUAAGUGUGGUGUCCGACAAGGCGACCCAUUGUCUCCCCUUCUCUUUGUUAUUGCAGCGGAUCUCCUCCAAGCUGCCAUUAAUGAUGCAUUCCGACAAGGGAAGAUCCAUCUACCGUUUGACAGACAGCACCAACAGGACUAUCCAGUUAUUCAAUACGCGGAUGACACAAUAGUUAUCAUGCCAGCGUGCCCAGCUCAAGCGCGUACUAUGAAAGGAAUUCUUAAUGAUUUUGCCACAUCUAUUGGUCUCAAGAUAAACUUUCAUAAAUCGACACUCAUUCCGAUGAAUUGUGAGGCAGAUCUUACAAAUGAGCUUGCUAGUAUCUUUGAAUGCAAGAUUGGUAACAUGCUGUUCACAUACCUCGGCCUCCCUUUGGGGACUAGUAAACCCUCCAUCCAAGACCUAAUGCCGAUGGUAUGCUAUGUAGAAUGAAGACUGACUUCCACCCUGACCAUGAUGUCAUAUGGAGCCAAACUUUCGUUGCUAAAUACAGUCAUCACCUCGCUCAUCAUGUUUGCUCUAUGCACUCUAAAGUUCCCACCGAAAAUCCUGGAGUUAUUGGAUAAGAUUCGUCGAAAAUGUCUAUGGACAAAGAAAACUUAACAAGGGGAAAAAUGCAACUCCUUGGUUGCCUGGGAUAGGAUCUGCCGCCCAAAAGAUAGUGGAGGCCUUGGGAUCAUCAACUUAAAGAUACAAAGUGAUGCGCUCCUCCUCAAAUACCUGCACAAGUUCUACAACCAGCAUGACCUCCCUUGGGUUGAUCUGAUUUGGUCUACAUACUACACGGACAAGAUACCCCAUGCUUCUGAUCCUUGUGGCUCCUUCUGGUGGAGAGAUGUCCUUAAACUAACUCCAACCUAUCGAGGCAUCUCAAAGGUUGAGGUUAACUGUGGCGACAAUGUAUUGAUGUGGAAGGACCUCUGGCUCGAGGAAACUCUAGUUGACUCACACCCAAGGGCAUUUUCCUUUGCUAAGAAUGAAGAUGUCUCAGUAAAAAAAUUUCUACGUGUUUCCUCAUUAGACGAGGCAUUUCAUCUCCCCCUCUCUAUAGAGGCUCAUGCAGAGGUUCGUGACAUCCAGCGUCUGGUGGCCCACAUCGCUUUAGAUAAUGAGCACACCACAAGGGGGACCGCAAAAUAUACUGCACGAAGAUUCUAUAAAUUCUGCUUCAGGGAUGUUCUCGUGGAAUUAUCACGACAGAUGUCCUCAUGGAAGGACUUAGUCGUGGAGCCAUCACUACGGGUUAGCUUGAAGGGGUUAAACCGGACAAAGGGACACGAGAGUUUAUACUAGUUCAGCCCCUUCGAUGAAGGUAAAAGCCUACGUCUAGUUGUGAUUGGUAUUGCUGGGGUUUCGAAGACCAGGGAGCGAAUCCGCUUUGUCUGGCUUCGAGUUGUUGUUUUCUGUCCCUGAACCGCCGCCGGGUCACCCCUUUAUAUAUUCAGGGAGGAUCCCGGCCGGUCUACGGAGUCCCGAGGCUGGCUCAUACAAGUGUCCGCCUCGGUCUCUUCUUUCUUAUCUUACAAUGCAAGUUUAUACAAUCAUGGCGGUUUACUAUCAUGGGCCCUAAACCGCCUGUGGGCUCUGGGUCUCUAAGCUUCAUCCGUAAAGCGCCAUCUUCUGGGUUUCCUUAGGCUUCAGUAUAACUGAAGGUGAACCGGCCCCUCCUGGGCGGUUUACCCUCAGUGGUUAUAUCUUCAACAUUAGGCCCCAGAUUUAUUUGAACCUGUUCAUGUCAGUCUUCAAUCCUUGAACUUCUGGCAAUUCUCGUAAACCGCCAUAUUGUCUUCUCCCUGUGAACUUUGACGAAUCGCCAUGGCGUCAUCUUCUGUUACUAUAAUAAAUCAUUGUGACGUCAUUCCUGUAUAAAAAAGUUUUUAUAAAGAUUCCCUUCUCUUUAAUUAAUUCCCAAAGAUCGAGGCGACAGCUGCAUCCUCUUUUGCCGCCUCCGAUUCCUUGAUUUUUGCGCCUGCCACUUUAUCCCACUUCCUUAUAAAUAAAACCAGGCCGCCUUCCAUUUUCUCCCUUUCCAAACCGCAUCGUCUUCCUCCUCGCGACCCGAAGACCUCAAGUAUUGCCGCCGCCGCCGUCGUUGAUCUUCCAGUCCGCACCGACUCAGGCCGCUGCAUCGACCUAACUCUGACCAGAGAUCGACGACGAACCUCUGCAGCUCGUCCUCAUCCGUGAGUUCUUCUCCUUCCCCUUCUCAGAUCUACAUUGGAACUUUUUGUUGAGUUCGUCGGCGGUCAUCGCCGCCCGAUGCAAACCCUUAUUAUUUUUCACCUCCAAUACCCUGUUUAAAUUGUAAAAACAACGUAGAACUGCUGCAGCAAUUGUUUGCGCUUAUCUUGCAUAAAAAUAGAUCUCAUUUCCAUUGUUUGGAAGCUCUCUUUGAGUGUAUGAACUUCUCUGCACUGUUUUAGGUCUAGAAAUUUUUCCUUCCAGAGCGACCGUUUGAUCGAAAAUAAUAAUUGCAACUUGCGAAACCUGUUUGUUCCAUACUUAAAAAAUUUCCAGCUUGGGGUUCUGCCUCCAAAGGGCGGUUUAUCCUUUAGUGUUAAUAAUUCGUCAUAUGUCAUUAGCCCUCUCUUAAACCGCCAUCUAGACUUUGAACAACCAUGCCCGGUUCACUUCAUACGUAUAUCUUGAAUUGCCGGUUUAACAUUUUGACAAACAGAUAUGAACCGCCAAUCGUAAACCGUCCAUUUUCCUUUUACAGACUUUGUAAGAUGAUGAAACAAUUUGCUGCUUGCAACUGGGUUCCGUCUCGGAUCACAGAAAUGCAAAUCAAUGAAUAUGUCACCACCGGCGCUUUAGCCUCAAAAAAUGUCCUCCGUUGGCGAGUUCCUGGCCCUGAAUGCCCCCCUGAACCUCAAGAUGGAGAAGUGAUUGUAUUCUUGCAGCAUUUAGCUCGAGGUUUCAGUCCUCCCGGAUCAAAAUUUUUCCAGGAUGUUCUUGCCAGGCUCCAACUUCAUCCUCAAGAUAUUGGACCAAAUUCUGUGUCCAACAUAUGCAACUUCCAAGUAUUCUGUGAGGUUUAUCUGCAAGAAGAACCCACUGUCGAUCUCUUUCACUUAAACCGCCGGACGAAAUUUUCUGAUGGACCUAAUACUGAACUUGGCGGUGUGUCGAUUCAAAAGAGGAAAGAGGUUGAUUUUCCUCAGGCCAAACUUCACAGCCAUCCAAAAGACUGGAACCACACUUGGUUCUACUGCCAAAAUACUGCCCCUGCUGAAGAGAAUCCUCUACCGGGCUACCGUCCGCACCGACUCAGCAAUAAUCACCCCUUACCUCAGAGAUUGCCUACCAAAGACCGACAAGCUUAUGCAUCUCAACUCGCCAAACUCCGGGCUCUCCUUGCCAACGGUUUAACUGGUGUUGAUCUCGUCUGUUGCUGGAUUUCAUGGUGCAUUCUCCCUUUAAGCCGCUGGCCCGGAUUGAUGUUUGAAUACACCGGCAGCACCAAUGAUCCUCAACGGUUUAACUCAAUAGAAAUGACAGACGAUGAAGUCAGUGAAAGUGUAAAGAAAAUACUCGAUGAACCGCUUGCCGUAUGUACUCAAAUUGGUCUUCGUCCUUUUUACGCCUCCAACAAACCGCCAGGGGUAAAUAUUUUAACCUUGUACUUUUUAUUAUUCUUCUCUGCUUUGACACUGCUAUACUAAUACUUUUGUGCAAUCCCAUAGGCCAGUAGCUCUUUUUGGAAAAAGAAAACUCAAGACAAAGUGGCUAAGGCUCCUCAUGGUAAGACCAAGGUCAUCAAGAAAGCUGCCAAAAAGAAAACCGCUGAGUCUUCAGAGCCACCUUAAGAUGUCGAUGACUCGGCUGAAGAGGUAAAGUUUGACUCCCUUGACUUCUAUCCAUAUAUUUUACUGAUAAUGAUUACUCCCAGGAUGAUGCGGAGGCCAGCCAUGCAGAUCAUAUUGAGGUAAUUUGUCUUUCUUCUGACUCAGAACUUGUGUCGGUUCAACGAUUUCGCCGUGCAGUUCGGAAAGUGAAAUGCUCUCACCCUGUUGCUCAUUGGGAUCAAAAACUUUCUUUGAAGACACAGCAAACCGAAGGGCGUCGCACAACCCAGCACAGUGGUCAACAGGUCACUUCUUCCGGUUUACCUCACACCCCAAACCGGAAACGUCGUCCAGAGGUUGCUUGUUCUCCUGAAAAUCGUUAUCCUUUGAAAGGUUUCUUCCGAUGCCCUCUCAAUUCAUCUCAUUCAAAUUAUCAGGCAUCUUCUAAUUCAUCUGGCGGUUCAUCCACCACUCAGCCGCCUCCACUGAAAACCGUCCCUGGUUAAGUGUGUAGCCUUCCCUUCUCUUUCAUAACUCAGUUGACCAUGCUAAUCUUUGUUUUAAUAUUAGUGCUCAAGCUCGUUUGAGUAAGAAGGCCAAGACCAGCGCCCCUACCGGUGAAGUUGAACCGGAGAAAACUCCUGAGGGUCUUGAGAAAAAUCUUGAUAAUCUUGUGGAUGAUUUUGCCCUGCCAGAGCCAACUAUCAAUGCUAAUCCGCCUGAAGCUGAUCCGGCCAUACAUGAGGAUACCUCAUGUCCACAUGUUAUGCCUGCAAGUCCGGCUGCUGAUCCGCUGAAGUCAAGUGCUAAUCCACCAAGCCCAGCCAAGGACGAUGAUGUUAUUGUUACUGGCACUGCUUAUACCGCUCCGGGUGAUCCAGUUGUCUUGGCAAAACAUACCGCCAAGGAUGAGUUUAUUUCAAUGGGCAAGAGGAAGAUGGAAACUGAUAUGUCAAAACAUGCUAAUCUUUCUGCCCAGGAUCUUCAUUCCGGUUUCUUGAACCGGCUUUAUACAAGUUGAGAUAAUGAGGCUGACUUGGUAAACCUGAUGAAGGAACGUUAUGAGGUAAACAUUUUCCUCCUUAUCUUUGUAUUUUCACUGCCUUGUAUCCUAUAGCCCCCAAGGGUCGGUUUAAUUUGUAAAAAAAAACCGGGACUUCGAAUUUCCAAACUGCACAUUGUUGACUUUUAAGUUUUUUGAGAAAACACACAUUAGCCCCCAAGUUCCAGGAUUGAAACUUGUAUGAAUCCUUGGGACUUUGAAGAAGCAGUAAGAAAGAAUUAAUCCGCAUUAGCCCCCAAGUGCCAGGAUUGAAACUUGUAUGAAUCCUUGGGACUUUGAAUAAGCAGUAAGAAAGAAUUAAUCCACAUUAGCCCCCAAGUGCCAAGUGUAGAACCAGUUGUAUGCUUGGGACUUUUGAUAAAAUAUUGAACUGCUCCUCUUGUUUUUGGCAGGCUGACAUAAACCAUCAACGGACGCAGAUUGCUGAUCUUCAAGAAAGUAUCAAAUCUCACCAAGAAGAAUCCUCCAAAGCCAAAGAUGAGCUUCGAGCCGCUUUAACUUCCAUAGAACGACUGAAAGAAGAAUUCAAGACGGAACGUGCCAACUGGGACACUGAAAAGGGGACAUUGCUGAAACAGGCUGAAGACGCCGAAUCUGCACUUAAACCGGUGGCAGAAGAGCUUUCUGGAUUAAAGCGUCAAGUGAACGCCAUGACCUCCGCAGUAUUUGGUAAGUACUCCUAGCAAAGUAUUUGAAAUACCCAUCUUGUAAGGUGCCGGUUGAAAUAUGAAAUUCUUAAACCGUUGCAGGGAGCCGCAUUACUCAUCUGGGCUCAGAUGUACGGAUGAAGCUGAAAGCAGCAUAUACUCUUCUGGAACAACUUUACACCGGUGCUCAAUGGGUUAUCUGUGCAGCCUCCUAUGACAAUCCGGCGCCAACACUGAUCAAGGAUACUCUGACAAGGCUAUCCAUGGUACCGGCACAGCUAGAAGAGGUGAAGUGAUAUGUUGCCAGGGCCGGCACUUUGUUGGCACUUACCCGAGCCAAAGCAUGGAUAGCUGACUUGGACCCGGUUGAACUUGCCAAAGGCUUUCCAAGCACACAAGAAAAUGGGGCAGAUUUUGAUGAUGCAGCCCUUAAAAGAGUGACAAGGGAGAUGCGUCCUCUGGCGAGUCAGCUGGCAGAGGAUGCUAACUUGACGGUUCACCGGUCUUAUUAUGAUGCCAACAACAAACGGGUUAACCCUGUCAUUCCAGCGGCGCAAAAUCUUAUUCCAGGAAUCCGUAAGCACACUUAUGCCCCUGACAUUGAUCCGUCAGAACUUAUCAGUGAAGAAGCUAUCUUUCAGGCCUUAACCCGGAUUGACUGGACCACCGCAAACUUCCAGCCGCUAAGUGGGGAAGAGGAAGCUGAACCGACGCCAGAUGACCCAUCAACUUCGCAGCAACAUGGUAAUGAGACUUGAUCCGGCAAUUAGAGUGAUGCUCCAGAAACCUUGUUCUGCUGGAAACACCAUAUUUUGGGCCUUCAAGCGCCUUGUAAUAAGCUAGUGGAAAUACUUUGAUACGUUGCCCUCGUGCAGUGGGAUACACUUUGCGUUGAUUUGUCAUGAGAAUUUCAGUACUGGCUUAUGUAUUUUUACAAUAUUAUGCAAUCCAUGUGUCUGCAUACGGAAAAUCUGUCCAGGCGGUUUACCACCGGACGGGUCAAAAUAUCCCACUUGGUAAGCAACUAUGGUUGCAACAAAUAAUAAAUCAUACCUAUGAUAUAAAACAUUGCUGUCGGUUUACCAAUUGUGAUUUGAAGAAGGGUGAAAACCCAAACUCCACCGUACCAUGUUGGUAUAUAUAUGAUAUAGAACCGGGUUGUGAUGAACGCCGGCCGAUUGCUGGAGACAAAGCGUCAAAGCCAGACCGGUUUUGAAGGAUGCCGAAUUACCUUUAUUUGUAUACUUGAAUAGAAGAUCCGUCAGCCGUGCCGGGUUUAAAAAACUCCGGUUUAACGUAGACCUCAUGAAAAAUAAAAACUUGGCAGAAAAAAGCAAACAAAAACUGUAGUCGAGGCUUUUCGAGGGCUGCCAGGCCCAAAUCGAGGCUUUUCAUGGGCUUCCAGGCCACUGAGUUAAACCAUUUUGGCAAAGCCCUUUAAGAUGGCCCUCCAACUAACCAAUCAUCGUUUUAACUUUGACAAGUUCAGGGUCUCAAUGAGAGUAACUGUCAAACGUUCGAAGGGUCAUGCCAGGAUUACCUGGAUAGGAGUGGCUUACUUGAUGAAGGCAGGUUAAUUCGGGGUUUUAGGUGAAUACACCAGGCUUCCAAGCCGUGGGUCGAUACCCAGCUACAAGGGUCCUUUCAAACUCUUUGGUAUUUGACUCAAAGAGCCCCCAGGUAACUUUGUGCGCUGUGUUCAAUGGGUGCCUAUGUUUGAGUUGUGCGUAGCAACAAGACUCUCUUUGGCCCCUUGGGUGUGAAGCUCCCAAGCUUUGUUGUGGCAUGAUAGCUGCAUCAGGAGGGUAGUAAUGCUAUGUUCUCUUUGGUGAAUACACCUAUGUUUGAACAGGAAGCCCCCAUGUUAACAGAUAUUUGAAGAAAAAACGGCGGAGGCCCUGCUUGAUAGCAAGGAUGCCGGUUUAUUAUACUAAUCAUAAUAUAUACAUUGUUAAAAUAUGUACAUACAAAAAGCCUGUGGCUUCAAGUGUAAUAAGGUCGUAGGAGAGCUAUGUUCCAUGGCCGCCGGGUCUCCUCCUCAGAGCUACGUGAGUCUUCUCGAACGUCAAUGAGGUAGCAUGAUCCGUUGUGCAGAUUUUUGCUGACCACAAAAGGCCCUUCCCAAGGUGGGGAUAACUUAUGCAUAUCAGUCUGGUCUUGAAUGAGCCGAAGUACCAAAUCGCCUUCUUGAAAGGUUCUUGUCUUAACCCGGCGGCUGUGAUAACGCCGCAGGUCUUGCUGAUAAACCAUCGACCGAGCCAAAGCCAUGUCUCUCUUCUCAUCUAACAGGUCCAGGGCCUCUUGGUGUGCUUGCUCGUUAUCCACUUCAACAUAAUUCGCGACCCUGGGCGAGUCGUGACGAAUAUCACUUGGGAGGACAGCCUCAGCCCCAUAGACCAGGAAAAAGGGUGUAUAUCCCAUAGAUCGGUUUGGGGUGGUAUUUAUGCUCCAUAACACUAAUGGUAAUUCCUCCACCCAACAACCCGGCGUCCGCUUCAAAGGGACCAUGAGCCGAGCCUUGAUACCCUUCAGGAUUUCUUGAUUUGCCCUCUCAGCUUGACCAUUGUACCGGGGAUGAGCCACGGACGCUACAUCAAGCCGGAUGUGCUCUCGUUGGCAGAACUCCUCCAUCUCACCUUUAGAAAGGUUCAUACCAUUAUCUGUGAUGAUGCUAUGUGGAAAGCCGAAACGGAAAAUAAUCUUUUUGAGAAAUUGAACCGCCGUGGCUGCAUCACAUUUACUGAUGGGCUCCGCUUCAACCCAUUUGGUGAACUUGUCAACCGCCACCAACAGGUGGGUCUUCUUGUCCUUAGAACGCUUAAAGGGUCCAACCAUAUCGAGCCCCCAAGUAGCAAACGGCCAAGUGAUGGGGAUCAUGCGUAACUCCUGAGCAGGAACAUGAGCACGACGUGAAAAUUUCUGACAAGCGUCACACCGCUUUACCAAGUCUUCCGCAUCAGAAUGAGCUGUCAACCAGUAGAACCCGUGUCGAAAAGCCUUAGCAACCAAGGACUUUGAGCUAGCAUGGUAACCGCAAUCCCCUUCAUGGAUUUUCCGUAGAAUCUCUUGUCCUUCUUCAGGAGAAACACAGUGUUGGAAUACGCCUGAAACGCUAGAACGGUGCAAUUCGCCAUUGUGAAUAACCAUAGACUUGGACCGCCGGACUAUCUGCCUGGCGAAAAGUUCGUCUUCUGGUAAUUCGUCCCGGUUCAGAUACGCCAAAUAUGGAACCGUCCAAUCCGGAGUGGCAUGUAAAACGGCUACCAACUGGGCCUCCGGAUCAGGAACAGCUAAAUCCUCCUCUGUAGGCAACUUUACAGACGGGUUAUGCAAGAUAUCUAGAAAGGUAUUAGGUACUGGUUUGUGCUGAGAUCCCAGUCGGCUUAGAGCAUCUGCUGCUUCAUUCUUGCGCCGGUCGAUGUGCUCCACCUAAUAACCCUUAAAGUGACCUGCUACAAUAUCCACCUCGCGCCUAUAAGCCGCCAUGAGUGGGUCUUUAGAAUCCCAGGUACCAGAAACUUGCUGAGCCACUAGAUCAGAAUCUCCAAAGCAUCGAACCCGGCUUAAGUUCAUUUCCUUAGCUACACGAAGACCGUGGAUCAAAGCCUCGUACUCUGCUGCAUUGUUAGUACAAGGAAACAUUAAGCGGAGAACAUAACAAAUCUUAUCUCCUCGAGGGGAAGUGAGGACAACUCCAGCCCCCGAGCCUUCCAGCUGCCUGGAUCCAUCAAAGUGAAUGGUCCAGUAUGUAUUAUCCGGUUUGUCUUCUGGUGCCUGUAACUCGGUCCAAUCAUUGAUGAAGUCCACAAGCGCCUGAGAUUUGAUGGCUGUUCGGGGUGUAUACUUCAAACUAUGGGGACCGAGCUCGAUCGCCCACUUCGCAACCCGGCCAGUUGCCUCUCUAUUCUGGAUUAUAUCGCCCAAGGGAGCAAAACUGACCACUGUGAUAGGAAUGACCUUGAAAAUAGUGCUUGAGUUUCCUACUUGCCAUGAAAACUCCAUACACUAGCUUCUGCCAAUGCGGAUAUCUUUGCUUUGAUUCGAUCAGUACCUCACUGAUAUAAUAAACUGGUCGUUGAACCGGAUAUUCUUUUCCGGCCUCCUUACAUUCAACCACAAUCGCCACACUGACCGCCCGGGCGUUGUCAGCCACGUACAACAAUAGAGGAUCAUUAUCAACUGGAGUAGCGAGGACAGGCGGUUCAGCUAGCUGCCGCUUCAAUUCCUCAAAUGCCGCAUUGGCGGCGUCAGUCCAGACGAAUUUAUCUGUUUUCUUCAACAUCUGAUACAGGGGAAUCGCCUUCUCUCCCAAAUGGCUGAUAAAUCGGCUGAGGGCUGCAAUCCGGCCCGCCAGACGCUGAACAUCAUUGAUACAUGCCAGUUUAACCAAGGAUGUGAUUGCUUUGAUCUUUUCCGGAUUUGCCUCAAUACCUCUGUUAGACACAAGAAAACCCAAGAGUUUGCCUGCCGUAACACCAAAAACACAUUUGUCCGGGUUGAGCAUCAUUUUGUAAACCCAAAGAUUGUCAAACGUCUCAUUGAGAUCAUUUAUCAGGGUUUCCUGCUUCCUGGAUUUCACCACAAUGUCAUCCACAUAGGCAUGAACAUUAUGCCCGAUCUGCUUGUGAAGACAAUUUUGCACACAACGCUGGUAGGUUGCUUGGUCACUCUUGAGCCCAAAGGGCAUAGAAACAUAGCAGAAGGCUCCAAAGGGAGUGAUGAAUGCCGUCUUCUCCUGGUCCUUAACUGCCAUCUUAAUCUGAUGAUAACCUGAAUAAGCAUCCAGGAAACUCAGGCGCUCACAACCCGCCGUUGCAUCAAUAAUCUGAUCAAUACGUGGGAGAGCGAAAGGAUCUGCCGGGCAAGCUUUAUUCAAAUCAGUGUAGUCCACACACAUACGCCAAGUGCCAUUUUUCUUAAGAACAAGCACCGGAUUAGCCAACCAUUCGGGAUGAAAUACUUCGACGAUAAAUCCAGCUGCCAGCAGCCGAGCUACCUCUUCGCCGAUGGCCUUGCGUCUUUCUUCGUUAAAGCGGCGAAGGUACUGCUUGACCGGUUUAAACUUAGGAUCAAUAUUUAGCGUGUGCUCAGCAAGUUCCCUCGGUACACCUGGCAUGUCAUAAGGUUUCCAUGCAAAGAUGUCCCGGUUCUCAUGGAUGAACUCGAUGAGCGCGCUUUCCUAUUUCGGAUCCAGAUUUGCACUGAUACUAAACUGCUUGGAUGAAUCACCAGGGACGAAGUCAACAAGCUUAGUCUCAUUAGCCGGUUUGAACGCUAGGGCCGUGCCAUGUUCAGUCAUAGGUUUCUUCAGAGGGGUCAUAUCCGCCGGAUCAACAUUGUCUUUAUAGAAUUUCAGCUCCUCCGUGGCACAAACCGAUUCUGCAUAAGCUGCUUCACCUUCCUCGCAAUCCAAGGCAAUCCUUCGGCUCCCAUGUACUGUGAUCGUCCCCUUAUAACCUGGCAUCUUGAGCUGUAGAUAGACAUAACAGGGCCUCGCCAUGAAUUUCGCAUAAGCCGGCCGUCCAAAUAGCGCGUGAUAUGGACUCUGGAUUUUCACCACUUCAAAGGUCAAAGUCUCAGACCUGGAAUCAAACUCAUCCCCAAACACAACUUUCAAAGCAAUCUUUCCCAUAGGGUAGGCCGAUUUACCUGGUACCACACCAUGAAAGAUAGUGUUUGACAAUUUAAGAUUCUUAUCCGUCAAACCCAUGCGACGGAAAGUCUCAUAGUAUAGGAUGUUGAUACUGCUCCCUCCAUCCAUCAAAACCUUGGUAAACUUAUAGCCCCCCACCUGAGGUGCUACCACCAAGGCUAGCUGGCCCGGAUUGUCAAACCGGGGCGGGUGAUCCUCCCUGCUCCACACAAUAGGCUGCUCCGACCAUCGUAGAUAAUGCGGUAUAGCCGGUUCAACAGUAUUGACUGCCCUCUUGUGAAGUUUCUGAUCCCGCUUGCACAAACUGGUAGUGAACACAUGCUACUGUCCGCUGUUCAACUGCUUGGGGUGACUCUGGUAACCUGACUGUUGCUGAUUCCCUUGGUUAUUCUGCUGGUUAUUACCAUGGUUGUUCUGAUGGCCCUGGUUGUUCUGAAAUCCAGAGCUUGAACCGCCGCCCCCAUGGAAACCUGGGCCUGAACCGCCCGGUGGAUCCUGAUCAUACCAGUAUAAAUCAGAAUUUUUGAACUCCCUCAUUAUAUGACAAUCUUUCCAAAGAUGUGUGGCAGGGGCCUCCUUGGUUCCAUGCUUCGGGCAGGGCUGGUUUAACAAAGGCUCCAGAUUCAUGCCGCGCUGGGGCGGUUUACCUUUGCGACGCUGCAUAUUUGUGUUAGCCACCAAAUCUGAAUUAUUCGCUUUACACUUACUGUUAUUCCCAUGGCCCCCUUGGUUGUGGUGCUGCCCUUUUGCACCUCCGUUCUUCUUUCCCUUCUCCGGUUUGUCCUCCUCUAAAUCCGGAUCCUUGGUAUUAUCUAAAUCGGCAUACUUAACUAAAGCGGCCAUGAGUGUUGACAUGUCGUUGCAAUGACAUUUGAGCCUUCCCAACUUCUGUUUCAACGGCUUGAAACGGCAAUUGCCCUCCAACGUUAAUACCGCGGUAUUUGUAUUAAUACGAUCUGACGAAUGCAAAAUCGUCGAGACUCGUUUAACCCAAUGGGUCGUGGACUCCCCUUCCUCUUGGACACAAGCGGCCAGAUCCAUAAUUGACAUCGACUGCUUGCACGUAUCCUUGAAGUUUUGGAUAAACCGGCGCUUUAAUUCGGCCCAUGAGUCAAUAGAGUUGGUUGGCAAGCUCUUCAACCAAGUGCAAGCUGUUCCUUCCAGCAUCAUGGUGAAAUAUUUAACACAAACCGCCUCAUCCACAUCUAACAUCUCCAUUGCCAUCUCAUAGCUCUCCACCCACGCCUCUGGCUGCAACUCGGCGGUGUAAUUUGGUACCUUGCGAGGUCCCUUGAAAUCCUUGGGCAAUCGCACAUUACGCAGUGCGGGAGUUAAACAUGGUACUCCUAGGGAACUGAACAUUACCCCUGGCUCCACGGAGGCAGUGGGGUGAACCAGAGUAUGAUGUCGUGCUUCGUGUCGAGCUGUCAACUCGGCCCCCCGUCGUACGCGGCCGUGGUCCACAACAUCUUGCGCAUUAGCACCUCCCUGGCCGGGUUGUUCUCCCACGGCGAAUUUCGGUGGCGUGCGCUACUGGAUACGGCCGGUUCGUCUUCCACGUGUAUGCUAUAACUCCGGCUUGGACAGGGAGUGGAAUGAAUCCUCUCACGGCUGUGUGAAUACGCUUGCUGUUGAUUCAAUGCUGUCUGAAGGAGAUCCCUGGCCCAACGCGCUUCCACUGCAACUGGUGAUUCGCCGUCGGUUGGGAGAGCCGCCAGGCAUGAAGCGGCGACCACAAUAUUAUCCAACGGGUUGGAAUAAUGCCCGGGUGGUGUCGAUGAUACAACGUUGUUCUAGCGAGGCAGGUUUGUUGCGUGUGGCUGAACCGACGCUCCUGCUUCCAGUGCCCCCGCUCGGUUUGGCGCGGGUUGGUUACCAGCUCCUGCACCUGGCAUGUUGAAAAGAUUUUACGGCUCAUAAACCGACGUGAGACGUGAUCGGUACCUUCUUCUCAUGACCUCUUCUGAAGCAUUCUGAUCUAGUCUAAUCCGGUAAGCCUGUGCUUCCAACUCGGCCCGCUCUGUGGCCAUCCUGGCGUUCUCUGCUGUCAGGUCCGCUUUAGCCUGGGCUAUCUGAUCUUUCACCUUUAGAAUCUCCGCAUCGUGCUGAUCCCUAGCUGCUGCGUCUACCUCCGCGGACAUCAGUGCCGCUAAAGCGUCGAACAAAUCAGACAAGACUUGGGCCGGAGGCGGCGCCGAGCUUCCUACACCUGCCGGCAUGGCCGUUGUUGAACCGGAGAGUACCGCUGCGGCGGUAGAUGAAUGAGGCACCGGUCGUGUGCCGACCAUGAAGACAAUGACCCGGUUUGGCAGACCGGGGGAAUCCGGAAUACUGUUGCCCUCGGAUCCUCCCUCAAUCCGGCCGUCGUACAACUGGUAAAGCGAUUCGGUUUCUCCGGAAGACUCGUCAUCACUACGAAUUACGGUUUCUCCAUCGGAGAUCGGUUCCUCCUCAUAACCCGAACCGUGGACGACACCUACGAAAACAUGCCUGGCCUCAGGCUGAACCGGUGAAGAACUUGCACGCCGAGCCGUCUCGAUGAUGUCCGUGCAGGUGUCCGGCUCAGGGGCCGGUUCGCCGAUCUUGCCAAUGAAGACGUGAAUCCCACCAAAGGGGACCCGGUACCCGUAUUCGAUUGAAUUAGCCUCGUGUAACGCCCUCGAUGCGGCUAUAGCUCCCAUGUGUCGAGGCACGACUUAGAGGCAUAACCGCAUUGAAAGCAAUGUCGCAAGUUAGGCAAUCUUCACAACAUCCCAUGUAAUACAGAUAAUAAAAGGGGAGAUACAUAGUUGGCUUACAUUCGCCACGUCAAUCAAAGUACAUAAAUAGCAUUACAUCAAUCAAACACUCAUGGCCCGACUACGGCGCCAAAAUGAAAGAUAACCCAACAUGCGACACGGUCCCGAUCACCCCAACUGGGCACCACUACUGAUCAUCAGGGAAAGACACGUAGUAUCGGCGUGAGUCCUCGUCGAACUCCCACUUGAGCUCAAGCGCGUCAUCUGGAACAGAUUCAUCAGGCCCUGCAUCUGGUUUGGAAGUAAUCUAUGAGCCACAGGGACUCAGCAAUCUCGCACCCUCGCGAUCAAGACUAUUUAAGCUUAUAGGUAAGGCAAGGUAAUAUAUGUGGAGCUGCAGCAAGCGACUAGCAUAUAUGGUGGCUAACCCGUUCGCAAAAGAGAGCGAGAAGAGGAGGCAAAGCACGAACGAGAAACUAGAGAGCAACCUGCGCAAGCAUUACUCCGACACCGUGUUCACUUCCCUGACUCCGCCGAGAAGAGACCAUCACGGUAACUCACACAGUUGAUUCAUUUUAAUUAAGUUAAGGUUCAAGUUAUCUACAACCGGACACUAACAAAUUCCCAUCUGCCCAUAACCGCGGGCACGGCUUUCGAAAGUUCAAAUCCCUGCAGGGGAGUCCCAACUUAGCCCAUGACAAGCUCUCACGGUCAACGAAGGAAUAGACCUUCUCCCGAGACAUUCCGAUCAGACUCGGUAUCCCGGUUCUACAAGACACUUCGACAAGUUAAAACAAAUCCAGCAACACCGCCCGAAUGUGCCGACAAAUCCCGAUAGGAGCUGCACAUAUCUCGUUCUCAGGGCACACUCAGAUUGUCUUAACUUCCGGUAGGCCAGCCCAGAGUUGCCCCUGGUGGCCACCGACGGCUGACGAGUUGGACCAACACUCAGAGGAGCANNNNNNNNNNNNNNNNNNNNNNNNNNNNNNNNNNNNNNNNNNNNNNNNNNNNNNNNNNNNNNNNNNNNNNNNNNNNNNNNNNNNNNNNNNNNNNNNNNNNNNNNNNNNNNNNNNNNNNNNNNNNNNNNNNNNNNNNNNNNNNNNNNNNNNNNNNNNNNNNNNNNNNNNNNNNNNNNNNNNNNNNNNNNNNNNNNNNNNNNNNNNNNNNNNNNNNNNNNNNNNNNNNNNNNNNNNNNGUUAAAAUAAGCUGACCCUCGGGAUUCGGAAACCCAAGGGAAAAAGGGCCAGGUGGCAAAUGGUAAAACCAAGGUUGGGCAUUGCUGGAAAAGCUUUAAUCAAGGUGAACUAUCAAGGGGUUCCCAUUAUCACCCAACCACGUAAGGAACACAAAAAAUCCGGGAACAUAACACCGAUAUGACGGAAACUAGGGCGGCAAGAGUGGAACAAAACACUAGGUGAGAGGCCAAGCCUUCCACCCUUUACCAAGUAUAUAGAUGCAUUAAGAUAACAAGAUAAUAUAAUGAUAUCCCAACAAGUAAAUAAUGUUCCAACAAGGAACGGUCUCCAAUCUUCACCUGCAACUAGUAACGCUAUAAGAGGGGCUGAGCAAAGCGGUAACAUAGCCAAUCAACGGUUUGCUAGGACAAGGUGGGUUAGAGGUUUGACAUGGCAAUUUAGGAGGCAUGAUAAGCAAGUGGUAGGCAUCAUAGCAUAGGCAUAGCAAAAGAGCGAGCAUCUAGCAAAGCAAAGAUAGUAGUGAUUUCGAGGGUAUGAUCAUCUUGCCUGCAAAGUUGUCAGAGUUGACUGGAUCCUCAAAAGCAAACUCAACGGGCUCCUCGUUAGCGAACUUGUCUCCCAGCUCUACCCAAGCAAGACAAACAAGCAACAAGGACACAAUCAACCACGUGUAAACUCAAUCAACAUGAUGCAAACAUGGUAUGCUAUGCGGGAUGCAAUAUGCGAUGCAUAUGCAAGAUUUGACAAGGAAUGCAUGAACCUGGCCUCAACUUGGAAAUCCAAGUGUGCCACUGGAAAGGUGAGAUGAAAUCGCUUGAAAACGAUAUAAAGACCGCCGGAAUCGGAGUUACGGUUUGGAAAUGGCAAGCAAUUCAAAUAUGACCACGUUCUGCGAUUUACAACAAGUAGCCAACUAGAUGCAACAAGAUGAACAUGCUACAACACCCAAACAUGGCAUCAAAAUACAUGGCAGGGAUCCAUUCAUGAUGCUUAACCAAAGACUAGCAGUGAGCUACGUCCAAUUCAUCCAUUAACAGGUUCAAACAAACAUGGCAAAAAUUCAUUUGGCAAACAGAUCUCAGACUUAGUGAAAUUAACACUUGUCUGGAAUUUCAGAUCAGAUAGCACACUUUGGAGCAUGAAAACAAUAUGCUACAGGACCUGAACAUGGAAAAGUAAAGCAUGGCAAGGAGCUACUCAAAAAGCUUAACAAAAGUCCCUUAGUGACCAUGAGCCAAAAGGGAUCGGAAAAUACAUUUGCAAGCAUGUGAACAUGGCAAAAACAUAACCAGUUCUCAGACUUAGUGAAAACUGGAGCAUGUUGAAACAGAUAUCAAGUAGGCAUGUUUAUGAGCUUGAUGCACUCACUACAUAGCAAGUCAUGACAAUCUAAUCAUACACCCAUCAAGAAUACACAAAAUACAAGCUAGACAUGGCAAGAACAAUAACAUAGCAUGCACGGAUCAACUACAACAUCCUCGACAAAAUCGCUAACAAGUAGACAAUCUGCCCAGAUUCACGAAAUGACAAAAGUAGAGCUCGAUUGACUCAAGCUAGGGUGCUCCAUAAUUGCAAACAAAGGCAUGGAUGGAUAGAGAACUACAAGAUUAACAAAACAUCCUUACUGACCAUCCUCAAAAGAGGCACGGAUCUCUAGGAAACAACAUGAACAUAUGACAUAAUGAGAUAAACAGCUCAAGGACUUAGUGCAAAUGCUAAGUCCCUGAAAUCAGCAUUAACGAAUGCCCCACUUUGCAAGCUUGUGCUAGUCACCACACACAUCACAAAAAUACAUGGGUUGCACCUAUGGAUAGAUGGCAACACAUAUAACAAAACUCAUGAAGAGCUCAGGGGCAUAUCAUGCACACAAUAAUCAUGGCAAAAAUGACAAAUAUCUAAUUGGAGCAGCAGAUCUGACAAUUAUCUCAAAUAGCAUUCUUCUAACAGCAUUUCGGGCAUCAAGAUGAACUCAAAUGAAAAGGAUGCAAUGAGAUGAAAUGAUGUGCUCCCUGAGACGAACAUUGUGAUAUGCUAUAUGCCCAAAACGGAGCUACGGAUGCAAAGCUAUAGCACGAUGAACAUGGGCAUAUGGAUCUGGGAAUUUGGGGACUUAGAAGAAAAUCACCACCCGCGGAUCUAGGGUUCCUCGCGGGCACGCAACCCGAGGUGACUCCGGCGAGGUCAACUCGCUCCGGCGAGGUCGGUCCGUCGGCGGGGAGAUGAAGGAGAGGCGAGGCCGGCCUCUCCCCGACCGGAUCUGAUGGAGGGCGGCGGCGGGCGCCCUCGACAACGGCUCCCGAGGCGCGGGGAAGGCGAGGGAGCGCGGGGCUCCGGCGACGAGCUCCGGCGAGCUUGCGGCCGGCGUCGAUGGCGGGCGGCGGAGGCUGCGAAGCAAGAAGCAGGCGGUGGCGGCACGGAAUCCGGGCGGCGCGCGGGUAGAUGGGCCGGGAGGGCCCGAUCUGGGCUCUCCCGGCCACGACGGCGGGGACGGCGCGGGGUGCCACGUGGCGGCGCGGGAAUGGCUGGUGGCGGCGUGUCCGGCGCCAGCGGACAAUGUCCGGCGCGCGGAGGGUCAGAUCUAGGGUUUUCAGGAGGAAAGGGAAGGAGAAAUUUCGGGGGGUCUUUAUAUAGGCAUAGGAGGAGCUAGGAGAGUCCAAAUGAGGUGCGGUUUUCGGCCACGCGAUCGUGAUCGAAUGCUCUAGAUGAUGGAGAGGGUUUUGGUGGGUUUUGGGCCAACUUGGAGGGGUGUUGGGCUGCAACACACACGAGGCCUUUUCGGUCCCUCGGUUAAUCGUUGGAGCAUCAAACGAAGUCCAAAUGGUACGAAACUUGACAGGCGGUCUACCGGUAGUAAACCAAGGCCGCUUGGCAAGUCUCGGUCCAAUCCGGAAAUGUUUAAUCCCCACACACAAAAGAAAGGUAGAAAUGACCACCCGAGGAGAACGGAGCACCGGAAUGCAAAAUGGACAACAGGGAAAAUGCUCGAAUGCAUGAGAUGAACACGUAUGCAAAUGCAAUGCACAUGAUGACAUGAUAUGAGAUGCAUGACAAUGACAACAACACACGGAGACAAAAACCCGAACCCGAGAAAAUAAAAUAACUUAACGCCGGAAACGGCAGAGUUGGAUUACAAAUUGGGAAAAUAUAUCCGGGGUGUUACAACACUCCACCACUACGAAACGAUCUCGUCCCAAGAUCUAGGACUGAAAGAACGCCGGGUAUUCAGAACAGAGGUGAUCCUCGCGUUCCCAGGUAGCUUCACGGUCGGAAUGGUGUGACCACUUGACUUUGAGGAAUUUGAUUGACUUGUUGCGAGUCUUGCGUUCAGUCUCUUCAAGAAUAGCAAUGGGGUGCUCACAAUAAGAGAGAUCUUCUUGGAGCUCAAUGUCCUCGAAGGUGACGGUGCGGUCAGGAGUCUUGAAGCACUUUCGGAGCUGAGAGACAUGGAACACGUCAUGAACAUUUGCAAAGUUUGAAGGAAGCUCGAGUUGAUAGGCGAGAUCGCCUCUCUUGCUGACGAUCUUGAAAGGUCCCACGUAUCUAGGGGCAAGAUUCCCUUUGAUACCGAAGCGACGAGUACCUUUCAUUGGAGAGACGCGGAGGUAAACAUGAUCUUCGAUCUCGAAAGCCAAAUCACGGUGCUUACUAUCAUAGUAGCUCUUCUGGCGGGAUUGGGCUGCUUUGAGGUUAUCUCGAAUGACUUUGCACAUUUCCUCUGCCUCUGUGAUUAAGUCAUUUCCCAGAAGUUGACGUUCACCGGUUUCAGACCAGUUGAGAGGGGUACGGCACUUCCUGCCAUACAUAAUUUCAAAUGGGGCCUUGCCCGAACUUGCUUGAAAACUGUUGUUGUAGGAGAAUUCAGCAUAUGGAAGACAAUCCUCCCACUUCAUGCUGAAGGAGAUCACACAAGCCCUGAGCAUAUCUUCAAGAAUCUGGUUGACAUGCUCGACUUGACCGCUAGUUUGAGGAUGGAAAGCUGUACUGAAGCGGAUGUUGGUGCCCAUGGCCUUCUGAAAAGAAUCCCAAAACUUGGAGGUAAAGAUGCUGCCACGGUCUGAAGAGAUCACUUGAGGAAUACCAUGCAGAGAGACAAUCCGAGAGGUAUAGAGUUCCGCCAAUUGAGUUGCAGUGAUUGACUCUUUGAUAGGCAGAAAGUGAGCCACUUUAGUGAGUUUGUCGAUGACAACGAAUAUAGCAUCAUUGCCACGCUUGGACUUUGGAAACCCAGUCACGAAGUCCAUCUCAAUGUGGUCAAACUUCCAUUCUGGAAUGGCAAGAGGUUGGAGGAGACCCGCUGGUAUUUGGUGUUCUGCCUUUACUCUUCUACAGACAUCACACUCAUUCACGAAUUGAGCAAUCUCGCGCUUCAUUCGAGUCCACCAAUAGGCCUGCAUGAGGUCCUGAUACAUCUUCGUGCUCCCAGGGUGGAUGGAGAGGAGAGAAUUGUGAUCCUCGUUCAUGAUCACUUUACGAAGGUCACCUUUGGGCACAACAAUACGAUCCUCGAAGAAGAGAGUAUCCUUGUCAUCAAGGCGGUAGCACUUGUACUUGGGUUGACUCUUGGAAAUCCCAAUCUUCACCUUUUUCACCAUAGCAUCAAGAAGUUGAGCUUGGCAAAUCUGGUCUUCCAAGGUAGGAGAGACUUGAAGGUUGGCGAGGAAACCUUGAGGAACAACUUGCAGAUUAAGUUUGCGGAAAGCUUCACAAAGCUCGGGUUGAUAAGGCUUGAGAAUCAGACUGUUGCAAUAAGCCUUCUUGCUCAAUGCGUCAGCAAUCACAUUGGCCUUGCCUGGAGUAUACUCGAUACUCGGAUUAUACUCUUGAAUCAUUUCGACCCAUCGAGUCUGCCUGAGGUUGAGAUUAGGCUGAGUGAAGAUGUACUUGAGACUCUUGUGGUCAGUGAAGAUGUCCACUUUUCUUCCCAAUAAGAGAUGUCUCCAAGUCAAAAGAGCAUGCACUACUACCGCCAACUCGAGAUCAUGAGUGGGGUAGUUCUUCUUGUUGGGCUUCAACUGGCGAGAGGUAUAAGCCACAACUUUCUUCUCUUGCAUCAAUACUGCGCCAAGACCUUGGAGAGAGGCAUCACAAAAGACCUCGUACGGCUUGGAUUCAUCAGGAGGAGUCAGAACUGGAGCAAUGACCAAUUUCUCUUUCAAAAUGUUGAAAGCAAUGUCACACUCCGGAGACCAAACAUACUUGACGUGCUUCUGGAGAAGAUUUGAGAGAGGCUUCGCGAUCUUAGAAAAGUUUUCAAUGAAUCUUCGACAAUAGCUUGCGAGACCGAGGAAGCUAUGGAGUUGCUUCACGUUCUGAGGUGGUUCCCAAUUUACAAUUGCAAACACCUUCUCAGGAUUCACCGCAAUGCCCUUGGCAGAGAUGAUAUGGCCAAGAUAAAGAACCUCAUCGAGCCAAAAUUCGCACUUGGAGAACUUGGCGUAGAACUUGUGUUCCCUGAGCUUAUCGAGUACCAAACGCAAGUGCUUGGCAUGAUCUUCCUUGUUCUUUGAAAAGACCAGAAUGUCGUCGAGAUAGACCAAAAUGAAGUCAUUGGUGUAGGCGUUGAAGAUGAAGUUCAUCAUGCGAGAGAAAGUCGGAGGAGCGUUGACGAGACCAAAAGACAUGACAGUGUAUUCAUAUGAACUAAAGCUUGUCCUGAAAGCCGUCUUGGGAAUAUCUUGCUCACGGAUUCGAAUCUGAUGAUGACCCAUACAGAGAUCAAGCUUGGAGAAUACUUGGGAACCUUUGAGUUGUUCGAACAACUCAUUGAUGUUGGUAAGUGGGUAUUUGUUCUUGAUGGUCUUCUUGUUCAAUGGACGGUAAUCAACACAAAGUCGGUCCAUUCCAUCCUUCUUCUUCACAAAAAGAACACCACAACCCCACGGAGAAGAACUAGGUCGGAUGAGACCCAUUCUCUCUUGAACAUCGAGUUGCUUCUUCAGCUCCUUCAACUCUUCAGGUCCGAGCUUGUAAGGACGCUUGCACACAAGUUCCGUGCCGGGCUCAAGAUCAAUGACGAAUUCAACUGGCCGGUGCGGAGGUAUUCCUGGAAGCUCUUCUGGAAAGACGUCUUGAUAUUCGCAAACGACUGGAAUUUGCGAGAUAGCAUCCAGUUCACCCUUCUCAUUGAGAGAAAACAGACGGAUGGUAUUAUCCCGAGCGGCAAAGACAAUUACAUCCUCAGACGAAUGCGUCAAUUGAAUCUGCCUGGCUGCACAAUCAAGCUGAGCCUUGUGCUUAGAUAGCCAAUCCAUCCCGAGAAUAAGAUCAAUAUCCGAGUUACCAAGGAUCAUUGGAGAAGCCAGAAACUUGAAAUCACCCAACGAGAUAGAAAUAUCCGGAACCUCAUAGUUAGUGAGCUAACAUCUACCCAGAGAGACAACUGCUAACGGUGUAUGCAUAACUUGAGAAAACCACCCAUGCUUAGAUGCAAAAGGUCUCGAGAUGAAACAAUGCGAUGCACCAGUGUCAAAAAGAACUUUUGCAGGAACAUCGUUAACAGGAAGGUUACCCAUGAUGACAUCUGACGAGUCCUCUACCUGAGCUGCGUUCAUCAAGUUGACCUUGGCGUGCUUGGGGUUAUGCUUGACCACAGCUGUACUUGCCGAUCUCACAAGAGGAGGAGGAGGAAGACGCCUCUGAUUGAAGCAUUUGUUGGCAUAGUGACCCUUCUGUUGGCACUUGUUGCACGUGACCUCUGAAAGCGGACGGUGAUACGGAGCACUCGAUCUUGGAGCUUGAGACGAAGUCUUGUUCUGAAAGCCAGGGUUGGGUGGGUGGGAAGAUCCAUUGCCAUCUUUGCUCUUCUGCUGAUAUGGCUACGAAACGGAGGAGGAGGAAGCCAAUACUUCUACUGCUUGGCCACUUGAGUAGAGGAAGAAGGAGUAGUGUCUCUGGCUCGCUUCUUGGAAGCAUCACACCUCAGUUGAGCGGCCUCUUGCUUCAAUGCCAUGUUGUAGAACUCAUCGUACCUCAAGGGCUCAAAGAGAACAAGAGCUAGCUGAAUUUCUUCCCUGAGACCACCCCUGAACUGGUAUAUCAUGCUCUUCUCAUCAGGGACAUCCUUCUUAGCAAAGCGGGCGAGCUUCUGAAACAACUUGUUGUAGUCAUAGACAGACAAAGAGCCUUGCUUCAGGUUGCGGAAUUCCUCACGCUUGCUUUCAACCACGCUCUGGGGGAUAUGAUGAGCUCUGAAAUCUUGACGGAAUUCAUCCCAGGUAAUCGCACGGCCUCCUCUGGAAUCCUUGUACUGCUGGAACCAUCUGCAGCUUGGUCUUUGAGUUGGAAGGAAGCGAACUUGAUGAAGUCCUCAGGCCUGACGUUACUGCACUCGAAAUGCUUGCACAGAUCCACGAGCCAAUCGUCAGCAUCAGUUGCCUCAACACAAUUGCUGAAAGUCUUUGGCCCGUUAGCAAGGAACUGGUUGAGUGUAGCAAAGUGAUUUUGAUUGUUGCCUUGGUUCACUUGAUUGCGCUCUUGAAGAAUUUGCAUGAUCAACUGUGUGUUUGCAUUGGUUGCGGCCAUCACAGCUUUCCAUGCCUCCGGAGGACGUGGAGGUGGUGGCGGAUCUUGAUUCUGAUUCUGAUUGGUGCUCUUAGCGGGAGCCAUCCUGAAGAGGUUGACCACCGUUAGCACAUAGAUAGAUAAAAUGAAGCUGAAUCAAACGGGUUGAAAUUGCAACAUAUAGUCUUCACAUACGAACAUAAAAACGAAUGCAUUCCACUUGAAAUGGUCACAUAUCCAUAAAUUGAGAAGCCACUUAGAAUCUAGGUAGAGGAAUAAAUCAACAAGGUACGGAUCAAGGACGAAUACUCGGUAAGAAAUCCCAAUCUCAAACCAAAUAUCCAUGGAAGAAGAACUAGAGCUACAAGAAUUCCCACCUAUGAAACUCCCAAACCUUUCCGGUUAUGCAUUCAGGUGUUGGGGAUACAGGGGAAGCAUAAUAUCUCACCCAAAUCUAGCAAUUCCUACAUCCAGCUGUAUCCAUCCUUCAACACAUAACCGAGAAAACUUUGGAAACCAUCUACCUCAACCUUCGAAAAGCAUCCGUUAUACAAGUUAUGGCGAUACUCCUGAACUCCCGCCCCAGUACUGGGUGGCAUCGAGGUUAUCUCACCAACGAACUGCAUAAAAGAGAUUUUCGAUGUCGGCAUACUAAACUCAGGUAUUCCAGAACUGCAACGAUAAAAUUGUGACGACAACACCUCGGAGCUCAACUCCCCGGGACACUGCCACAACCCCUAAAGUCAGGAGGCACCAAGAACAAUGUUCUCGUCACAAAACCAUCGGAACGAUUCCAAGAUACCCGCGUGAUCCUAAAUUUUUUUUAGUGAAAUUUGAGAAGAGAAGAGUCAAAACUCUACGUCUGGAUGCCUUACCAGAGCGAUGAGGAGACUGGGGAGUAAAAAGAAUUCCUAAACUCUCCGAUAUAUAAUUCCUAAAUGACUCAAAACAUUUUUAUAGACUCAACAACGGCUGCUAAAAACGAUCAAGCAAUGGGGGCUCCUAAGGUCGAGGAAGGCUCUGAUUACCAACUUGUAACGCCCUCGAUGCGGCUAUAGCUCCCACGUGUCGAGGCACGACUUAGAGGCAUAACCGCAUUGAAAGCAAUGUCGCAAGUUAGGCAAUCUUCACAACAUCCCAUGUAAUAUAGAUAAUAAAAGGGGAGAUACAUGGUUGGCUUACACUCGCCACGUCAAUCAAAGUACAUAAAUAGCAUUACAUCAAUCAAACACUCAUGGCCCGACUACGGCGCCAAAAUGAAAGAUAACCCAACAUGCGACACGGUCCCGAUCACCCCAACUGGGCACCACUACUGAUCAUCAGGGAAAGACACGUAGUAUCGGCGUGAGUCCUCGUCGAACUCCCACUUGAGCUCAAGCGCGUCAUCUGGAACGGAAUCAUCAGGCCCUGCAUCUGGUUUGGAAGUAAUCUGUGAGCCACAGGGACUCAGCAAUAUCGCACCCUCGCAAUCAAGACUAUUUAAGGUUAUAGGUAAGACAAGGUAAUAUAUGUGGAGCUGCAGCAAGCGACUAGCAUAUAUGGUGCCUAACCUGUUCGCAAAAGAGAGCGAGAAGAGGAGGCAAAGCGCGAACGAGAAACUAGAGAGCAACCUGCGCAAGCAUUACUCCAACACCGUGUUCACUUCCCUGACUCCGCCGAGAAGAGACCAUCACGGUAACUCACACAGUUGAUUCAUUUUAAUUAAGUUAAGGUUCAAGUCAUUUACAACCGGACACUAACAAAUUCCCAUAUGCCCAUAACCGCGGGCACGACUUUCGAAAGUUCAAAUCCCUGCAGGGGAGUCCCAACUUAGCCCAUGACAAGCUCUCACGGUCAACGAACGAAUAGACCUUCUCCCGAGACAUUCCGAUCAGACUCGGUAUCCCGAUUCUACAAGACACUUCGACAAGUUAAAACAAAUCCAGCAACACCGCCCGAAUGUGCCGACAAAUCCCGACAGGAGCUGCACAUAUCUCGUUCUUAGGGCACACUCAGAUUGUCUUAACUUCUGGUAGGCCAGCCCAGAGUUGCCCCUGGUGGCCACCGACGGCUGACGAGUUGGACCAACACUCAGAGGAGCACUGGCCCGGGGGGGGGGGGGGUUUAAAAUAAGAUGACCCUCGGGCUCCGGAAACCCAAGGGAAAAAGGGCUAGGUGGCAAAUGGUAAAACCAAGGUUGGGCAUUGCUGGAAAAGCUUUAAUCAAGGCGAAUUAUCAAGGGGUUCCCAUUAUCACCCAACCGCGUAAGGAACGCAAAAAAUUCGGGAACAUAACACCGAUAUGACGGAAACUAGGGCGGCAAGAGUAGAACAAAACACUAGGCGAGAGGCCAAGCCUUCCACCCUUUACCAAGUAUAUAGAUGCAUUAAGAUAACAAGAUAAUAUAAUGAUAUCCCAACAAGUAAAUAAUGUUCCAACAAGGAACGGUCUCCAAUCUUCACCUGCAACUAGUAACGCUAUAAGAGGGGCUGAGCAAAGCGGUACCAUAGCCAAUCAACGUUUUUCUAGGACAAGGUGGGUUAGAGGUUUGACAUGGCAAUUUAGGAAGCAUGAUAAGCAAGUGGUAGGCAUCGUAGCAUAGGCAUAGCAAAAGAGCGAGCAUCUAACAAUAACAUAGCAACGGAUCAACUACAACAUCCUCGGCAAAAUCGCUAACAAGUAGACAAUUUGCCCAGAUUCACGAAAUGACAAAAGUAGAGCUCGAUUGACUCAAGCUAGGGUGCUCCAUAAUUGCAAACAAAGGCAUGGAUGGAUAGAGCACUACAAGAUUAACAAAACAUCCUUACUGACCAUCCUCAAAAGAGGCACGGAUCACUAGGAAACAACAUGAACAUAUGGCAUAAUGAGAUAAAUAGCUCAAGGACUUAGUGGAAAUGCGAAGUCCCUGAAAUCAGCAUUAACGAAUGCCCCACUUUGCAAGCUUGUGAUAGUCACCACACAUAUCACAAAAAUACAUGGGUUGCACCUAUGGAUAGAUGGCAACACAUAUAACAAAACUCAUGAAGAGCUUAGGGGCAUAUCAUGCACACAAUAAUCAUGGCAAAAAUGACAAAUAUCUAAUUGGAGCAGCAGAUCUGACAAUUAUCUCAAAUAGCAUUCUUCUAACAACAUUUCGGGCAUCAAGAUGAACUCAAAUGAAAAGGAUGCAAUGAGAUGAAAUAAUGUGCUCCCUGAGGCGAACAUUUUGAUAUGCCAUAUGCCCAAAACGGAGCUACGGAUGCUAAUUUAUAGCAUGAUGAACAUGGGCAUAUGGAUCUGGGAAUUUGAGGACUUAGAAGAAAAUCACCACCCGCGGAUCUAGGGUUCCUCGCGGGCACGCAACCCGAGGUGACUCCGGCGAGGUCAACUCGCUCCGGCGAGGUCGGUCCGUCGGCGGGGAGAUGAAGGAGAGGCGAGGCCGGCCUCUACCCGGCCGGAUCUGACAGCGGGCGGCGGCGGGCGCCCUCGGCGACUGUUCCCGAGGCGCGGGGAAGGCGAGGGAGCGCGGGGCUCCAGCGACGAGCUCCGGCGAGCUUGCGGCCAGCGUCGAUGGCGGGCGGCAGAGGCGGCGAAGCAAGAAGCAGGCGGCGGCGGCGCGGAAUCCGGGCGGCGCGCGGGAAGAUGGGCCGAGAGGGCCCGAUCCAGGCUCUCUGGGCCGCGGCGGCGGGGACGGCGCGGGGUGCCACGUGGUGGCGCGGGAAUGGCUGGCGGCGGCGUGUCCGGCGCGCGGAGGGUCAGAUCUAGGGUUUUUUGGGAGGAAGGGGAAGGAGAAAUUUCGGGGGGGUCUUUAUAUAGGCAUAGGAGGAGCUAGGAGAGUCCAAAUGAGGUGCGGUUUUCGGCCACGCGAUCGUGAUCGAACGAUCUAGAUGAUGGAGAGGGUUUUGGUGGGUUUUGGACCAACUUGGAGGGGUGUUGGUCUGCAACACACACGAGGCCUUUUCGGUCCCUCGGUUAACCAUUGGAGCAUCAAACGAAGUCCAAAUGGUACGAAACUUGACAGUCGGUCUACCGUUAGUAAACCAAGGCCGCUUGGCAAGUCUCGGUCCAAUCCGGAUAUGUUUAAUCCCCACACACAAAAGAAAGGUAGAAAUGACCACCGGAGGAGAACGGAGCACCGGAAUGCAAAACGGACAACGGGGAAAAUGCUCGAAUGCAUGAGAUGAACACGUAUGAAAAUGCAAUGCACAUGAUGACAUGAUAUGAGAUGCAUGACAAUGACAACAGCACCCGGAGACAAAAACCCGAACCCGAGAAAAUAAAAUAACUUAACGCCAGAAACGGCAAGAGUUGGAUUACAAAUUGGGAAAAUAUAUCCGGGGUGUUACACCUCAGGACCCCAUCCUGCGUUGUCGAUGUAGAGCUUGCCGCGGCAACUCUUUGUCAUCCGGCCCACAACGUAUCCCCUCAGUCCAUCGAAGUUGCCCUUCAAGAACUCAAAACCAUCGUGUGAUAGCCCCACGGUGGGCGCCAACUGUCGUGGAAUUGUUACGAUAGAUGUCCUCAUGGAAGGACUUAGUCAUGGAGCCAUCACUACGGGUUAGCUUGAAGGGGUUAAACCGGACAAAUGGACACGAGAGUUUAUACUAGUUCGGCCCCUUCGAUGAAGGUAAAAGCCUACGUCUAGUUGUGAUUGGUAUUGCUGGGGUUUCGAAGACCAGGGAGCGAAUCCGCUUUGUCUGGCUUCGAGUUGUUGUUUUCUGUCCCUGAACCGUCGCCGGGUCACCCCUUUAUAUAUUCAGGGAGGAUCCCGGCCGGUCUACGGAGUCCCGAGGCUGGCUCAUACAAGUGUCUGCCUCGGUCUCUUCUUUCUUAUCUUACAAUGCAAGUAUACAAUCAUGGCAGUUUACUAUCAUGGGCCCUAAACCGCCUGUGGGCUCUGGGCCUCUAAGCUUCAUCCGUAAAGCGCCAUCUUCUGGGUUUCCUUGGGCUUCAGUAUAACUGAAGGUGAACCGGCCCCUCCUGGGCGGUUUACCCUCAGUGGUUAUAUCUUCAACAGAUGUUAAAGCCCAUCGAUCAUAUCAUUGGCUCUGGAAAUCCAAGGUCACAAUUAAGAUAAAGGUCUUUGGUUGGCUUCUACUCUCUGAUCGCCUCAAUACAUGAAACAUGCUCAAACGUCGACACUACAAUGUGGGAGAGGACCUGACAUGCCUCCUCUGCGGCCAUACAGAGGAAGAUGUGGAUCAUAUGAUUCUAAACUGCCCGUUCAGUAAGUACUGUUGGUCCAAACUUGGGAUCAAUCCUGAACAUCAUGUCACACGGCUACCCCGGUUGGAAAUGGCCAAGAAAAAUUGGAACAAACCUAUGUUCAUGGAAAUCUUCCUACAAGCAUCUUGGAGUAUUUGGAAGGAGCGAAAUAAUAAACUCUUCAGAAACAUCAACCCAUCCUACAACUCUUGGCUAGCUAGAUUUAAAACAGACUUUGGUUUACUAGAAUAUAGAGUAAAAGAUAAUAUGAAGGACUUUAUCUUCCUAGUUUUAGACUCCCUCCCUUCUGACUAGUCCCCACUACUAGUUUCACAUUACCUGUGCCACAAAGUGGCCAGGGAUGCAUUCUGUAUAGCCCUUUCACAAUGUACAUUGUAACUUUUGAAAAUUAAUAUAUCACAGUGGGAGCCUCUCCCACUGUCACAGGUUUCAGAAAACUUCGAGAGUUUAUCUGAUGAAUUUAACAUGAAUCAAGAACUCGAGUCUCUAAAGGAAUCUCAUAAUGCACUUCUGAAAGAGAAAGCUUCUCUCUUUGCCGAGCAAUUGAUAACCCACAAGUAUAGGGGAUCGCAACAGUUUUCAAGGGUAGAGUAUUCAACCCAAAUUUAUAGAUUCGACACAAAUGGAGCCAAAGAAUAUUUGCAAGUAUUAGAAGUUGAGUUGUCAAUUCAACCACACCCGAAGAUUAAAUAUCUGCAGCAAAGUGAUUAGUAGCCCGGUCGAGAGCAUCAUGGAAUUGGUGUUGAGGGAGGGUUGAUGAUGAUGAAGACCGAAGAUUCCCCUCUCCGGAGCCCCAAACGGGCUCCAGAUCUGGCCUCCCGGUGAAGAACAGGAGGUGGCGGCGGCUCUGUAUCAUGAAACGCGAUGAAACUUCCUCUCUUAUUUUUCUCUCCAAAAAUAGGUAUUUAUGGAGUUGGAAUUAGGUCUACGGGCCAUGAGGUGGGCACAACCCACCAGGGCACGCCAAAGGGGGGGCGCCCUCGUGUCUUGUGCCCAGCCAGCCCUCCUCCGGUGGUUCUUCGUGCUAGUAUUUUUGAUAUAUUCUGAAAUAGUUCUCCAAAAAGUUUCAUCUGAAUCCGAGAACUUCUAUUUCUGCACAAAAACAACACCAAGGUAGUUCUGCUGAAAACAACGUCAAUCUGGGUUAGUUUCAUUCAAAUCAUGCAAAUUAGAGUCCAAAACAAGAGAAAAAGCAUUAGGAAAAAUAGGUACGAUGGAGACAUAUCAACUCCCCCAAGCUUAAACCUUUGCUUGUCCUCAAGCAAUUCGGUUGACAAACUGAAACUGAAAAAUAGAAACUUUUACGAACUCCUUUGCUCUUGUUUACAUAAAUAAGAUUAAGUAGCACCGAGGUUUUCAGCAAAGAUUAUGAUUAACCUUGUAACAAUAACUCUUAGGAAUUGCAUUAACUCAUAUCAAUAGCAUAAUCAACUAGAGAGCAAUAAUAAGAUAUAUCAAAUGACAACACUUUGUCAAAACAAUCAUGAUACAAUAUGCUAGCCCUUUCCGAGACCGCAAAACAUAAAUGCAUAGCACCUCCAAAGUUCAAGCUACGAUUAAACAUUGUAAUUCAUGGUUGAAAAGAUCCAAUCAUGAUGCAUCCAACAUUAACUAUACACAAUGCACGAGGAUGACAAUAGUGCUCUCAGGUCCGAUGCUUGUUUGAGAAGGUGAUGACUCAACAUAAAAUUAAAUAGAUAGUCCCUUCGCAGAGGGAAGAAGGGAUUUGCAGAGGUGCCAGAGCUCAAAGCUUAAAACAGAUAUAAAUAUGAUUUUGGGAGGUACGCCCUUCCUAUCAAUGUUACGACCAAGAGUUAUCAAUACCUUCCAUGCUAAACACAUUAGCGGCGGUUCCCAAGCGAUAAAAGUAAAGGUUUACUCCCCCUCCACCAACAAAUACACUCCACGCACUACAAAAAAAAAUACAC
rnacentral:lncRNA from 1 species